rnacentral:rRNA from 1 species
AUGGAUGAGGUCACAAUGGGUAUACAAGGAGAUAUCCCAUGGUGUAUGCUCUUUGCGGAUGAUGUGGUGCUAGUUGACGAUAGUCGGACGGGGGUAAAUAGGAAGUUAGAGUUAUGGAGACAAACCUUGGAAUCGAAAGGGUUUAGGCUUAGUAGAACUAAAACCGAGUACAUGAUGUGCGGUUUCAGUACUACUAGCUGUGAGGAGGAGGAGGUUAGCCUUGAUGGCCAGGUGGUACCUCGGAAGGACACCUUUCGGUAUUUGGGGUCAAUGUUGCAGGAGGAUGGGGGUAUUGAUGAAGAUGUGAACCAUCGAAUCAAAGCCGGAUGGAUGAAGUGGCGCCAAGCUUCUGGCAUUUUCUGUGACAAGAGAGUGCCACAAAAGCUAAAAGGCAAGUUCUACAGGACGGCGGUUCGACCCGCAAUGUUGUAUGGCGCGGAGUGGUGGCCGACUAAAAGGCGACAUGUUCAACAGUUAGGUGUGGCGGAGAUGCGUAUGUUGAGAUGGAUGUGUGGCCACACGAGGAAGGAUCGAGUCCGGAAUGAUGAUAUACGAGAUAGAGUUAGGGUAGCACCAAUUGAGGAGAAUCUUGUCCAACAUCGUUUGAGAUGGUUUGGGCAUAUUCAGCGCAGGCCUCCAGAAGCUCCAGUGCAUAGCGGACGGCUAAAGCGUGCGAAGAAUGUCAAGAGAGGGCGGGGUCGACCGAUUUUGACAUGGGAGGAGUCCGUUAAGAGAGACCUGAAGGAUUGGAGUAUCGACAAAGAGCUAGCUAUGGACAGGGUUGCGUGGAAGCUUGCUAUCCAUGUGCCAGAGCCAUGA